GGGAGCUCAGGAUCCUGGGCUGUGUCCCCUGGCGCCCUGGGAUCCAGGGCCUGUGCUGCUGGAAUUGCACUCCCGGGUGCGACUCCU
rnacentral:pre_miRNA from 1 species